GUGUCCAUAAAAAAACUUUUCUACCAAUGAUCUUCCUUCAAUCAAACACUGUAUAGGACUCUUGUAGAAUUUGUUUUUUCUAGUUUGUACAUUGGGGAGGUUAUUUUUUAUUAUCCUUGUAGUUUUCUUAACAAAUAGAAAAAACUUGAAAUUUUUGUUGAUUUCUAGAUUACUUUGUCAACAAAGGAAAAAUAUGAUUAAUAACGCUCUGCUGAGAAUUGUUUUAUGAAUGAUUUAUCAUUGCAUACAGAUAUUAACUUGAUUAUCCUUUAAAUUCUCCCUUCUACAUAGAAUACAUUUUUUUAUUUGCAUACUAUAACAUAUGUUUAAAUGAGGAUAACAUAACUACAGACAACAAAUUGUGAUUUAAGGUAUGGCACUCAAACAAUUUCCCAUAUUCCCAAACUAUUCAAUAAGAAAAUAAAACUACAUUGGAAGGACUUU